GCCCGUGUGAUGGAACUGGUAGACGUAGGAGACUCAAAAUCUCCCGGCAGCGAUGCCGUGUCGGUUCGAGCCCGACCAUGGGCACCA
rnacentral:tRNA from 1 species